rfam:Populus trichocarpa isolate Nisqually-1 chromosome 16, whole genome shotgun sequence.
AAAUCAUCUACUAGGCUAUCCACAUAAUUUUUUUAUGGCAGAUCUCUAUCUGACUACUCAGAAUCUUCUGUUUUUGUUAGCCUGACCAUAUCAAGAAAACUCUGAUAUUUUUUUAAAAGUAUGCAA